GUGGCUGUAGUUCAAUGGUAGAACGGCGGGUUGUGAUCCCGCUAACGAGGGUUCGACUCCCUUCGGUCACC
rnacentral:tRNA from 1 species